UGGAGAUAGACAUUCACAACCCUGCCGGGGAAAAGCGUUCACGACCAUGCUAGGGAUAACAUUCACGACCAUGCUGGGGAUAGCAUUCACGACCAUGAUGGGGAUAGCAAUACUUCACCACCGACUGCUGAGGAACAAACUACUCACUGAUACCUCCGUUGGGGAUACAACCUUCAGACUCAGUGGGGAUCAACAAUCUUCAGACUAGCUGGGGAUAAACCCAUUUUCAGGCCUGCUACCCAACUGCUGGGGAAGAACAGUUCUAACAAGCUCUCAGACUUG
rnacentral:lncRNA from 1 species